rnacentral:rRNA from 1 species
UACGGGAGGGGGCUAGCGUUGUUCGGAAUUACUGGGCGUAAAGCGCACGUAGGCGGCUUUGUAAGUUAGAGGUGAAAAGCCCCGGGGCUCAACUCCGGAAUUGCCUUUAAGACUGCAUCGCUAGAAUUGUGGAGAGGUAAGUGGAAUUCCGAAGUGUAGAGGUGAAAUUCGUAGAUAUUCGGAAGAACACCAGUGGCGAAGGCGACUUUUCUGGCUCGAUA